GUAUUAAGAUUGAAAACUGAAGCCUGAGUUGAGAAAACCUGAAGGCGAAAUCGAGGAGGACUACAAAGAAAAACAAUUCAGCUGCCACACUUGAUUCAGAGACAGUUUUGUCAAAAGUCAAAGAGAAAUAGGAAGGAACUUCUAAGAGAAGUAUUCCUAAAAGGCAAGAACAUGCUUACAGAGAGACAGUAUACAUUUGUGGAGCUGAAAUUUACUAAGCUGGCUCUUUGCGACCCAAAAUAUUCAAGUAAGAAUCCCACGGCUUUGUUUUGACCCUAC